rnacentral:rRNA from 1 species
UACAGAGGGGGCAAGCGUUGUUCGGAAUUACUGGGCGUAAAGAGCGUGUAGGCGGCCAAGCAGGUCCGUUGUGAAAACUGGAGGCUUAACCUCCAGACGUCGACGGAAACCGCGUGGCUAGAGUCCGGAAGAGGAGAGUGGAAUUCCUGGUGUAGCGGUGAAAUGCGCAGAUAUCAGGAAGAACACCAAUGGCGAAGGCAGCUCUCUGGGACGUUACUGACGCUGAGACGCGAAAGCGUGGGGAGCGAACAGG